rnacentral:rRNA from 1 species
UACGUAGGGGGCAAGCGUUGUCCGGAAUCAUUGGGCGUAAAGAGCGCGUAGGCGGCCCUGUAAGUCCGCUGUGAAAGUCAAGGGCUCAACCCUUGAAUGCCGGUGGAUACUGCAGGGCUAGAGUCCGGAAGAGGCGAGUGGAAUUCCUGGUGUAGCGGUGAAAUGCGCAGAUAGUCAGGAAGAACACCCGUGGCUAAGGCGGCUCUCUAGUACGGUACUGACGCUGAGACGCGAAAGCGUGGGGAGCGAACAGG